UUUUUUACCCUUUGUUUUGAUUAAGGUUAAUCUGGUUAUGUCUCGGCCAGAAUAGUCUGUGAAGCCAAAUUACUCAUUAUCGAAAUAUGCAUGCCAACGUUAAACAAGAAUUAAUAACUGCAAGAUAUGGAUUUAGUUUCUCACACGGGAGAAACUUAUCACACGUCAUUAAAAGACGGCUACGCCUUAUGGCCUACGUCACCAUAAUGUGGCUGCUAAUUAGGAUGUCCCAGAACGACUAAGAUUUACUAUAAAAGAACCAACCGGGCUGUCGGUUGACCAUGCAAAUUUUAAAAAAUAAAGAAAAAAGGAAACAUUAGUAAGUCCGAAGCAAUCGACAGGACUAACAAGAAAAACAAAACUCCCAUACAGCUAUCCUGAGAACCACCAAGACGUUUGAAGGCAAGAGUGCCAUGACCAAGCAGAUCAUCACCAACAACAAGGGUCGCCUGAGCAAGGAAGAGGAUUUUGCAGGAAGCAGACCAAGACAAAGUAGAAGACAAGCAGCACACGGAGAUGAAAGUGGCCAAGAACGCACUACAGUCUAUCCACUAUGGACUUUUGAAUAUUAGAUCACUCUCUAAGGAAAAGGUGUUUCCUUUGAGAAAAUGUAUUGCGGAUAACCGUCUUGGCUUUAUGUUUUUAACUGAAACCUGGUUUAAAUCCUACACUCCCAUUAAUUUGCUUAAUUCUUGCCCUGAAGGUUUCACCGCUCAAUCGGUCAAUAGACCCAACAACCAAAAAGGGGGUGGGAUUGCCGUUAUUUAUCAUAAGAAAUAUUCAGUAUCAUAUCCACCACAUGAGUUUUUUUCAUCGUUUGAAUACUUCCAAUUGAUCAAACAGCCUGAAAACCUGCUCAUUGUGACUGUGUAUCGGCCGCCACGUGGUUCUAAAUUAGACUUCUAUUCUGAGUUUGGAGAAAUGUUGUCCAUUAUCGCUCUAGAACAUGAUAAAAUCAUUAUAGUUGGGGAUUUUAAUUUCCAUAUCCACAAGGAUCCUUGUAAAUCUUUCCGGAAGCUUUUUAAAAAUUACAAAUUUGUUCAGCAUGUGAAACAUCCCACCCACAAGCAAGGAAACACACUGGAUUUAGUUUUUACUAGGGGUAUUGAUGUUAGAAUUGCAGCCAUUGACCCCUUCGAUUUAUCUGAUCAUCAUUGUAUCCGUUUUACCACCGGUUUAGGAGAUUACCUUGCUGGCAGUUUGAAAGACUUAAUAUUACGGUGUCUGCCGUGGAUCCUGGCGGGAGCAUAGAUGCAUAGAUAUAGAACGAAUAUAAAUAUGAAUGUCUCGUCCGCUCUGCUGGCCAAUGGAGACGAACGUCCGCUGUGGCGGCCACCUUGCCACAGUCAGUUGCUCACCCAUAGUUGUGUUGGUAGUGUGGUAGGCCUACAUGUAUUUUUUUAAUAACCAUAAGUUGCUCAAUUUUCAACCAAUUUCCAAACGGUGUGGUUUGUUAUAAACGUCAGAGGUGUAGUUAUGACACUGCAUACUUAUGAAUAAUUAUGUUAGGUACUAAAAAAAUAGAAUAAUGUUCUAAAAUAGGUACACAAUUAUAACCAGGUUAAUAACGUUUGUAAGAAACCAAACCGUUGGUAAAUCGGUUUAAAUUGAGCAAGUUAUGGUUAUUUAAAAAGUACAUGUAUCACUACCAACACAAUGUUAUGGGUGAGCAGCAGACAGUGGCAAGUUGGCCACCAGGGCAGACGUUCUAGACGCCGCCGUAAGACAUGUGUUAUAUUCUAUGGAUAGAUGGCUCUGCUCCAGGCCCCCAGGAGCAGUGCAUACUUCCGCAAUCCACCAGUGCUCAGCGGCCAAGCCUGGUAUUGCAGUUGUUUUACCGGGCUGUGGACGGUUCCCUCGAUUCAAGGCGCCUAGAAGUAGAUAUCUCCGUUCACUCCAAUACAAGAUGGGAACAGGAAUGUGUUCCGCAAAAAAUGUCUGGAUAUCAAUAAAAAAAGCUCAUAAUUAUCCUUAUGUACCAAUAAAAUAUACAUUUUCUCUUUUCAAAA